rnacentral:rRNA from 1 species
CACGUAGGGACCAAGCGUUGUCCGGAUUCAUUGGGCGUAAAGAGCUCGUAGGCGGUUCGAUAAGUCGGGUGUGAAACCUCCAGGCUCAACCUGGAGACGCCACCCGAUACUGUCGUGACUAGAGUCCAGUAGGGGAGCGUGGAAUUCCUGGUGUAGCGGUGAAAUGCGCAGAUAUCAGGAGGAACACCGGUGGCGAAGGCGGUUCUCUGGGCAUGAUCUGACGCUGAGGAGCGAAAGUGUGGGGAGCGAACAGG